AAGAGGCAGCCAGCAACCAGGUGUUACAAAACCUAAAGGCUUCCCUGUCUCAAAAGAGGGCCCUAGACACACAAGAUCACUACUGCAGUUCUGACGAUGAAUCUCCACAAAGGGGAAAGCGAGCAAAGAUUUAUAAGGCAGCAAGACGUGUGCUUUUACCCCUGGCAUCCAGUCCCAGUUCUGAUGACGCCACAUACAUAGGGAGUUCACAACGGCAUGACAUUGACCAUGCCUCAGAUGAAGCGUUGGGUUUCUCCUCAGCCCAGAGAACGGCAAG